AAACAAUUAAUUCCAUAAAAACAAUCAUCCAUCUGAUUAAACAUUUUUGUUUUAGCAAACAAAUUUGUGCUGUUUUCAAUUAAAAUCAAUAAAUUAAACAAUCAAAAUUCCAAAUUUUAAAAAUAUUGUUUAGCAAACAAAAAAUCCAAAACAACGUCAAAGGUUGUUUCAAUUUUUUGCAAAAUUUUCGUAUAAAACUUUGGUAACUAUUGCUAGAUGCUCUCCAUUGCCUAAAAAGUCUUCUGAGGAAAUCAAAGAACGCGAAUCUGAUGAAUCAAAUAGCUCUUCUGAUGAGUCUGAUGGCAGCAGUGAGGAAAAAGAAGAAGAUCCAGCAGCAGAUCCAUCACUUGACAUUGAAGACAUUCCAGAUAAGAAUGCUGAAGAAGAUCUAAAAGAAAUUGCAGAUGAGAUUGCUGAAGGUGAAAAAGAAGAAGAAGAUCAAGAUAAUGUUGAUAUUCCAGAUGAAGAUGCAGAUGCUGAUGAAGAUGAAGAUGCACCUCCUUCAGAUGAUGAACAAUAUGAUGAAGAAGGAAAUAGUUCUCCAAUGCCAGUUCCUUCACCUUAAAGCACUUAAAUCAUAGAUGUUUCAAAGCAUAAAAAAUCUAAAUAAUUUUUAUUAUAUUGGAUGAGAAAUAAAUUUAUUUUGAUAUAAAAUAUAAA